ensembl:misc_RNA 7SK 7SK RNA
CAAUGUGAGGACAGUCUUGUUGCGACAUCUGUCACCCCAUUGAUCGCCAUGGUUCAUUCAGCUGAUCUGUCUGGUUAGGUGUCUAUCCCCUUCCUCUGUUACCACUCCACAUGCCUUCCUCUAGAAGCUGCAUGCUUGGUUAAAGCGGACAACCUUCCCCAAAUAGAGGAGGACUGGUCUUCAGUCAAGGGUAUACAAGUGGUUGUGCUCCCCUGCUAGAAACAAGCUCUCAAGGUUCAUUUUGAUUUUCAUUUCCCUGAUGACUAAAGUUGUUGAGCACUUCCUCAAAUGUCUUUUGGCUGUUAGAGAUUCUUCUGA